rnacentral:rRNA from 1 species
GGAAUAGCGCCAACGAUGUUAUGCUUCCAAGAAAAGCUCGUACACCAUUUUUCGUUUUACGAAAAUAAACACAAAAAUUACCUGUACCUGAAACCGACACAGGUAGGUUGGUAGAGAAUACCAAGGGGCGCGAGAGAACUCUCUCUAAGGAACUCGGCAAACUAGCCCCGUAACUUCGGAAGAAGGGGUGCCCUUGCUAAAACGAGGGUCGCAGUGAAGCGGUUCUGGGAACUGUUUAUCAAAAACACAGGUCUCCGCAAAGUCGUAAGACAAUAUAUGGGGGCUGACGCCUGCCCAGUGCCGGAAGGUCAAGGAAGUUGGUUAGAGACAUUGUUUCGAAGCUGACGACCGAAGCCCCGGUGAACGGCGGCCGUAACCAUGACGGUCCUAAGGUAGCGAAAUUCAUUGUCGAGUAAGUUUCGACCUGCACGAAAGGCGUAAUCAUCAGAACGCUGUCUCGGAGAGAGGCUCGGUGAAAUAGACUUGUCCGUGAAGAUGCGGACUACUAAUACCCGGACAGAAAGACCCUAUGAAGCUUGACUGUAUCCUGGAAUUGGGUUCGGGCUUUUCUUGCGCAGCCUAGGUGGGAGGCUAUGAAGAUUUCCUUCCGGGGAAGUUGGAGCCAACAGUGAGAGACCACUCUGGAGAGGCUAGAAUCCUAAUGGUGAUCCUUGAAUCAGGACACUUGACAGUUUCAGGUGGGCAGUUUUUCUGGGGCGGAAGCCUCACAAAGGGUAACUGAGGCGCGCAAAGGUUCCCUCAGUCUGGACGGAAAUCAGACACUGAGUGUAAAGGCAAAAGGGAGUUUGACUGUAAGACCUACAAGUCGAGCAGGAGCGAAAGCUGGCCUUAGUGAUCCGACGGUGCCGUGUGGAAGGGCCGUCGCUCAACGAAUAAAAGUUACUCUAGGAUAACAGGCUGAUCUUCUCCAAGAGUUCACAUCGACGAGAAGGUUUGGCACCUCGAUGUCGGCUCAUCACAUCCUGGGGCUGUAGUAGGUCCCAAGGGUUGGGCUGUUCGCCCAUGAAAGUGGUACGUGAGCUGGGUUCAGAACGUCGUAAGACAGUUCGGUCCAUAUCCAGUAUUAGCGUUAGAAUAUUGAGGUCAGUCACUCAUAGUACGAGAGGACCUGUAGUGAACAUGCCAAUGGUGUACCUGUUAUUUUUCCAAAAGUAAACGCAGGGUAGCUAUGCAUGGAGUGAAUAAGUACUGAAUGCAUCUAAGUAUGAAGUCCAGACCAAGAUGAGUAUUCUCGAUUCCGUAAGGAAUCAGAAGCCGCAGCAAGACAAGCUGUUUUGAUAGGUAUCAAGUGAAAGGCCAGCAAUGGUUUUAGCUGAGAUAUACUAAAGGCAAAUUGAUUUU